rnacentral:rRNA from 1 species
CCGAUGUAUCGGAACAUGAACCAGUGUGAACUGUGAAAGAACCAAUCUUUAGGGGUCGACACAGGUGGUAUGCGAGUGUUCGUUAAAUGGUGGUUCCUUCCACCAGCCCCGCCAUUGUUUUUACCAUGCAUAUUGAACGUAAUAAAAGACUGAGUAUGAUGAAAGGAAAGGAAAGGAAAGGAAAAAAUAGGAGACAACUUUUGACGGUGGAUCUCUUGGCUCACGUAUCGAUGAAGAACGCAGCCAGCUGCGAUAUGUAGUGUGAAUUGCAGAAUUCAGUGAAUCAUUGAAUCUUUGAACGCAAAUGGCGCUCUUGGGUUCUCCCAGGAGCAUGUCUGUCUGAGUGUCGGAUUUCAUCCAACGCACAUAGAAUGAGUGUGCGGUAUUGAGGUGUCACGGCGAGGCGAUCAUUAAUUCAUUAAUGACACUCGACUCACGCCGUGUCCCUUGAAGGCAAGCAGCAUUGGACUCGCAUUCUCUAUUGAAAUAAACCUGAGUGCGAAGGCUAAAGAAGAUAUUAGUAUUUUCCUUCGCUCUUUAUCAGAGAGAGAGAGAGGUCCUUGCUGAGAGAGAGAGGACAAAAAAAACACGUUGACAUCAAUCUUGACCUCAGAUCAGGCAAGGCUACCCGCUGAAUUUAA